rnacentral:rRNA from 1 species
UACGAAGGGGGCUAGCGUUGCUCGGAAUCACUGGGCGUAAAGGGUGCGUAGGCGGGUCUUUAAGUCAGAGGUGAAAUCCUGGAGCUCAACUCCAGAACUGCCUUUGAUACUGAGGAUCUUGAGUUCGGGAGAGGUGAGUGGAACUGCGAGUGUAGAGGUGAAAUUCGUAGAUAUUCGCAAGAACACCAGUGGCGAAGGCGGCUCACUGGCCCGAUACUGACGCUGAGGCGCGAAAGCUAGGGGAGCAAACAGG